AAAGCCUUAAAGUUUGAUCUGACCCUUUCCUUGUGGGACCUUGGCAUGGAACCUUCGUCGGAGCUCUUGCCGUCGGUUGCCCAUUUUUCCGGAGAUUGUUUGAUUUCCGUUAUCGGCGUCUCUGUGGACUUGGGAUGAACUGCGUUGAUUUCUGUAAGGGCGAUGGAUAGUAUCCUUGCGUCUGCGUGUGACUGAAAGGGUGUAAUAGGGCUAAAUGUCCAAGUUGUAUCUAUUCCUAGCUAAUAACCUCCUUGAUGAUCUAUCUCGCAGUUCGGCACUGUCGCUGCUCUGUCGACCGUGGCCUCGACCUGGAUGAUGGCCGGCAACGCAAACGCCGCGACUGAACUUGCAACUCUGGCUGCCAACGACAACCGCCUGGGCAUCAUUGCAACCCUGUUUGUUCCUGCUCUGGGCUGGGUGGCCUUCAACAUUCUGGGCGGUCUGCAGGCGCAGCUGGACCAGAUGAGCGCUAAGAGCGACCCCAAGCGCAAGCGAGCUGUGCCAGCUGCGAUUGGCCUGGGAGCCGCUGCCACGCUGCUGGCUGCACAGUCUGCAGAGGCUUCGACUGAGCUCGCAACUCUGGCUGCUAACGACAACCGCCUGGGCAUCAUCGCAACCCUGUUUGUUCCUGCCCUGGGCUGGGUGGCCUUCAACAUUCUGGGCGGUCUGCAGGCGCAGCUGGACCAGAUGAGCGUUAAGAAUGGUCCUGCCCGCAAGCGGGCCGUGCCGGCUGCCAUUGGCCUGGGAGCCGCUGCCACGCUGCUGGCUGCACAGUCUGCGGAGGCUUCGACUGAGCUCGCAACUCUGGCUGCCAACGACAACCGCCUGGGCAUCAUUGCAACCCUGUUUGUCCCUGCCCUGGGCUGGGUGGCCUUCAACAUUCUGGGCGGUCUGCAGGCGCAGCUGGACCAGAUGAGCG
rnacentral:lncRNA from 1 species